CCCCAUGAAGCUAUUGGGGAACUUGAAGACAGGAAAAAGAGACGUUCCAGUCAUCAGGUAGGGCCCUUGGGUGGAAAACAGAAGAUUGAGAUCCUUGUGGAAGUUUGGUUUAAUAUAUACCCUUCUCCUCAAUACUGCAUUGUUUGAUAAACUCAAAUGUAUGUGUACACUCGGGUGAAAUGUGAAGAAGAAAAUGUGGGGGAACCCCAUAAUCCCAACACUAAAGGCAAAACCGAGGACUUAUUCUCUUGAUGUCAGUGGAUUUACA
rnacentral:lncRNA from 1 species